rnacentral:rRNA from 1 species
UACGAAGGGGGGCUAGCGUUGUUCGGAAUUACUGGGCGUAAAGCGCACGUAGGCGGACAUUUAAGUCAGGGGGUGAAAUCCCAGAGCUCAACUCUGGAACUGCCUUUGAUACUGGGUGUCUUGAGUAUGGAAGAGGUGAGUGGAAUUCCGAGUGUAGAGGUGAAAUUCGUAGAUAUUCGGAGGAACACCAGUGGCGAAAGGCGGCUCACUGGUCCAUUACUGACGCUGAGGUGCGAAAGCGUGGGGAGCAAACAGG